rnacentral:rRNA from 1 species
AUUGAACGCUGGCGGCAUGCUUUACACAUGCAAGUCGGACGAGUGGCGAACGGGUGAGUAACGCAUCGGAACGUACCGAGUAAUGGGGGAUAACUGUCCGAAAGGACAGCUAAUACCGCAUAUUAUUCGAGCGGCCGAUGUCUGAUUAGCUGGUUGGCGGGGAAAAGGCCCACCAAGGCGACGAUACGUAGCGGGUCUGAGAGGAUGAUCCGCCACACGAGGACUGAGACCCGGCCCCGACUCCUACGGGAGGCAGCAGUGGGGAAUUUUGGACACUGGGCGCAAGCCGGAUCCAGCCAUGCCGCGUGGCUGAAGAAGGCCUUCGGGUUGUAAAGUACUUUCAGCGGGGAGGCGUUACCCGCAGAAGAAGCACCGGCUAACUCCGUGCCAGCCGCCGCGGUAAUUC